CGGCGGCCCUCGCACACAUCCGCCGCGCCCCUUCCGAAGGGCGCGAACGACGAACGACGGCGACGGCGACCGGGCACGGCAUCUCAUCCGCGGCGAACCAACACACACACGCACACACGCGCACAUGCGCACGCACACACACACUGCAGACACACGCGCGCACGCAAACACAAGUCGGCCCCGCGAGUUUCGUUUUGCAAACGUUUUCAGUGUGACUCGAACGACGGCCGCGGCUGCAGGGACGGCGGGCUGUAGGCGCACAGAUGCGGAACCGACGACCGGAAACCGUCGCGAAUACCCACCCGAGAUCACGAACUUCAAGCGCAUUGGAUAUUUGGAUAUACUGCCGUUUCACAGUCCAAGUACACGACGACGGGGCUCCGACCGAUCAAACAGUGCAAUAGCAGCAUCAGGACACAAUAUAUAGGUACAUCUACUCGUCCGUGAUUUCGCCCGAGGACGAGUACACAUACACUGGGUUUGACGGAUAAAUCUGAGGUUAAAGGUGAAACACGGCCGCCGAUGUCAUAUUGUCCUCCGGACACCGCCGGUCGUUUGUUCCACGCGGAAUAAUAGUAAUAAUAAUAAUACAAAAUAACAACGAUUAGUAAUAUUAUAAAAUAUUACCGAACGUUAUUAUUAUAUUAUUGUUAAUGCUCCAAGUCUCGCGAUAAUACGCGGGCCGUAUACAAUACAAGGCGACGAAACAACAGUACAUUAUUUUCUACGCCACACCACAACCCGUUACCGCAAACUCAACAGUUAUAUAUAUAGUGAGUAAAAACAAAUUUAAAAAAAAAAAAUUCUAAUAUCGUACCAGCCGAAAAAGUACCUACUUAAUAAAAUAUAUUGUAUUAUAUAUUUAUAUAUAAAUAUUUUUUUUUUUUUCGUUCUCGUCGGCUGUAUACCCGAGCGAUACUGUGUCGAAAAUAGGCGGAGGUAUACAAAUGUGUAUAAAUUAUUAAAUAAUUAUUAUUA